rnacentral:lncRNA from 1 species
UCAUGGUGUGGAAUGUGUCUCUCUCCCUCAGUAAGAUCUCACUGAUCUCAUCUGGAAGAUGGUGGGUCCAACCCUACAUGGCAAUUUCUGGCAUCUUCCCCAGCGUGUCAUGUCUCAGCUCUUACUUUAACCAGAGGGCACCAGAGUGUGCACAGUCUCAACUUUAUAUGAGAUUAUAAAAUGAGCACAUAGACCUUGUUAUCAUUUCUCCGAAUCUAGUCUUUGCUGCUAUUGAAAUUAUUACGUAUAAUUUCUUGAUUUGGAAUAAUUCCACCAGCCCAAAGUUGUUUGCUUUCCCAAACAAAUGAGACAACUUUUGUUUUCUGAAAGUUUAGAAAUCAUUGCCAGGGGCUGGGAGGCUGGCUUAGCAGGCAAAGCGCUUGCUGCGUGGACAUGAGGACCACCUGAUAUUGGAUCCCCAGCAUCCAUGGAUGGAUGAGCAGGUAUGGCAGAGUGAGCCUGGAAUGCUAAUAGGGAGGUAGAGACAGAGGCAUUCUGGGAGCUCACUGGCCAUUUACUGUAGCCAAUUGCUGAGCUCCAGGCUCAGAAACAGACCCUGAAUCAAAACUAAGCUGGUGGAGAGUGAUAGAGAAAGACACCUAGUUUGACAUCUAGCCUCUAUGUACGCAGGGGUGCAUGCUCCUAUAUAAAAUGCACUGAUGUAAAGGUGUGUGUGUGUGUGUGUGUAGCCGGACGCCAUUUUGGAUGGGACAGGUAGUACUAAAUGCAUGGGUUGGGAUAGACACUAGAGAGCCAAGCAGAGUGAUAAUGAUCACACAGAAACUUUGUUCAUGUUGGGCAAAGGCCUGUAAGAAUGAGAGAGCUAACAACUGAUGAAGCCGAAGAGAAUGUUUGCGAACAGUGCCAUGUUUACUUUUGUUAUCUUUCAUUUUACUUUAUUUUAUUUUUUUUAGCAUUCUUUUUUUAAUUUUGCUUUUUUUAAUUCGAUAUUUUAUUUAAUUACAUUUCAAAUGUUAUUUCCUUUCCUGGUUUCCCCUCCGAAAAUCCCCUAUCCCCUCUCUCCUCCCCCUGCUCACCAACCCACCUACUCCUGCCUCCUGGCCUUGGCAUUCCCCUAUACUGGGGCAUAGAACCUUCACAGGACCAAGGGCCUCUCCUCCCAUUGAUGAGCGACUAGGCCAUCCUCUGCUACAUAUGCCGCUGGAGCCAUGGGUCCCUCCAUGUGUUGGUGGUUUAGUCCCAGGGAGCUCUGGGGGUACUGGUUAAUUCAUAUUAUUGUUCCUCCUAUGGGGCUGCAAACCCCUUCAGCUUCUUGGGUCCUUUCUCUAACUCCUUCAUUGGGGACCCUGUUCUCCAUCCAAUGGAUGGCUGUGAGCAUCCACUUCUGUAUUAGUCAGGGUCUGGCAGAACCUCUCAGGAGACAGCUAUAUCAGGCUCCUGUCAGCAAGCUCUUGUUGUCAUCCACAACAGUGUCUGGGUUUGCUAUCCUUUCACUUUAUACUUUAUCCUUUCACUUUAUUUUAUUCUUUGUUGAAACAAGGCUCCAUGAUAUAGCCCAGGCUGGCCUCAAAUUUACAACUUUCUGGGCUCAGUCUACCGCCAUACUUCGUGGUAUGGUUUUAGUUGUAAUCCUGCAUUUUGCCUCAUAAAGAACUGACUGGUGAGGAGCACAGCUCUUAAAGUCUUAUGAAGCACCAAUAAAGUGGAAUUGGGUGGCCUCUGCGUGUUUUUGCAUUGGGUCUGUAGAAAGCUCUACUCCCAGGUUACUGGAGGUGAAUGCAUGGGCCCAUUUGCUGUCACGUUGGCCUGUCUUACCAUGGAGUACUUAGCUUUCAUUGUGUACUGGCUUCCCUUUAAUUAUUAAAAUCAUAGUCUUUUUUUUGCUAUUGUGUUUUGUUUGAGACAGCGUUUUGCCUCUUAGGCUGUUCUGGAUGGAAUUCAUUUACAUAGCCCAGGCCAUCCUUGAACUUGUGAGAAUCUUCAUGUCUUAUCCCUUUGAGUGUUGAGAGCACAGGCAUGGGCUAUGACCUAACUUUAAACAGUUGUUUCUGGGGGCUCUUAUGAAUGCGUGCCUUUCUGUGGGUCACAUGGCGAAAAAUCAAGAAAGAGAUCUCCCUGCAUGGACAGAGUCUUUGUGAAGCCUCCAUUCAUGUACUGGAGAUCUGGUCACUGGAGGCCUGCUGGUGUUUGAGCCAGGACAUUGGGGGAGGUACUUGAAUCAACAGUGGGAUCACUGCUCUUAUGAGAAGACAUUUGGGAGAGAUUCUUUUGUGCUCUGGGGUUCACAGUGAGAACAGAGUCAUCUGCACACCUGGAAGAAGAUCCAUACCAGCACCCGCAUUGGCCAGUAAUCCUGGAUUUUCCAUGCAUACUCCAGAACUAGGAGGAGUUAUGGUUGUUGGCUUAAGUGUCCAUCUCACGGGAACUGUUCUACCAGCCUGAGUUGCUCAUCUCUGUUCCCCUCUCAGUGCCCACUCUGGCUUUCUCAGAUGGCGCCCUUGCGACUGCUUCCUUGGUGUUUAGAUGUCAGCCGCUUCCCUUGAUGAUGCCCCUUGGGUCUCUGGGUUUUGCUGACUGCGGAGGAAGAGAGCCGAGCUUUGGGUGCUCCCUGUGCCACACACGAGGAGUCAUAAAAGUGCCUUCAGUUGUGCGUUUCUGACUUUGUCCACACAUCCCUGUACACAGCACCUCACAACGCAUGUCAGCCCGGGAUGAUGGUGACCAAGAGGUGAUAUAAAAUUAUGGUUUUGUGAACAGGGCAGGGAUUGAGGGGGCAUGGCCAGGAAGGAGGCUUCAGCUAUUGCCUAGGCUGUUCACAUUUCCUGAUCAGGAGAGUUCAUGAGACGAUAGAUUCAUUUAUAUAUUUUCCUAAAUCCUUCACAUCGUACGAUGCUCACAAAGUGGUAAUUGUUAUAAAACAUACUGGAUACCUAGUCUGAACAUCUUUUGUGGCAGGAGGCCAAUAGCCUGGGGCUCUAACUGUGCCUGGCUCUGUCUGUUAGCAUGCAGAAGUGAGGAUGAGGUACCUAUAACUAUCCCUAGUGCUGGAUGUGUGCUGUCAGCAUCCACAGCUCACACGGUAGCGACUUUAUCCAGGGAAAUAGAUUCCAUGCUUGGAGCUUAGCUCCUGUUUUUGCUUUUGUGUGAUUUUCCAAUGUUCUUAGAACCUUUAUUUGCCUUAACCUAGACUCGAUAUACUCACCUUCGUAUCUGUUGCACAUGUUGGAAAAUAAACAGAUGAUGUGGAAUUCUUAGUGUCUUCAAAGUGGUACCCAUACCGCUACCAUGUUGUCAUGGAAGUCUGGAAGCCACUUAGUGUGCACUGUCUCAGUGAUUGAACCGGAUACAUUAAAAAAAAUCACAUCCCCACGAGUUCAUCAAUUUACUCCUGGCUGCUUUUGGAUUGCUAGAAACUUUCCUGCUGUCUGAGGUCUAGGCGGUGAUGCUUUCAAAAACACCUCGUUGUCGUAUUAACACCCAUUUAAACUAAUUAUCCCUGCUCUCAGGCUCACAGUGUCAGCCCCACAGAUCUGGUAGCUGAGAAGGUGAUGCUUGAUCGUGGCAUCUCUGCGGCGAUCUUUCACAGACACCCCACCUUCUGAUUCCCCCCCCCCCCCAGUUCUUCCCCAGUUCCUCUCUGAGGACAGCAGCAGCCAGUAAGCCAUAGGCCAGGCCCUGGGGUAUCUGGCACAUAAGCUCAUGGAUUUUAGAGUAAUAUCUGAUUGUGAGUUUCCAUCUUUUCCAUCAGACUCUGUAUCCUCCGGCCAUUCAUGUCUGGCCCUGGGACUGGAUUCCCUCCUGGGUGAAGUAGGGAUAGAAAUGUCACAGUUGUGUGUCAUUGUCAAGAUCAUGAGUGAUCCACCCAAAUGGACCAGCAAACUAAAGCCCGGUGUGCACAGGCAUCGAUUGCUAGGGACAGUUCUCUGGCUAUGUGUAGAGUCAGUUGUUCUUACUACUUAGGAAAACAUGUUAUUUUCUCCUCCACCCAGAUUUUUGCUCCUACUUCACUUCAGACUAUCAUGAGUUUCAGAGAAUUAGUUAUUGCUGAAGAUAAACUCAUGAAAACCCUGGGAUACCUCCCUCCCCCGUUUCUGUUAUCUAUCUUCAAUUUUUUAUAUUCUGAUUGU